rnacentral:misc_RNA from 1 species
UGGUUCUCGCAUCGAUGAAGAACGCAGCGAAACGCGAUAGGUAAUGUGAAUUGCAGAAUUCAGUGAAUCAUCGAAUCUUUGAACGCACAUUGCGCCUCCUGGUAUUCCGGGGGGCAUGUCUGUUUGAGCGUCAGUACCCACUCCGGACACAGGUCUUUGCUGACCGACGGCCGGGUCUUGAGGCACACUCUGCCUCCAACGUAGUACGCUCGCGAACUCCGACCUCAACCGAUGACGUAGUAAUACUCUUCUCGUCAUAAACGGGUAGGAAGGGGCCGCCUGGAACAUCAAACUCUGUAGUUUGACCUCAGAUCAGACAAGGAUACCCGCUGA